UUGCCCUGUUCGUAACCCCUUGACAGCAUAUUCACCCAUAGUGAAUAGGUUCCAUUCCAGUGCUACAUGAAAUCCAAUAAUGGAAGGCUGACAAAUUCCAUGCCCCUUCUGUAUUUGGAGACAAAA
rnacentral:snoRNA from 1 species